CCUCCCCCCAUUUUAGGGGACCAAAAGUAUUGGACAAAUUCACUUAUAUGUGUCAUAAGAGUUCAACGGGACCUUCAUGUUUUUCGACAGGACCCCCAAAAGCGAGAUGAAGAUCUCUUACGCCCAGUGUGGUGACGUGAUGAGGGCGCUGGGACAGAACCCCUCCAUCGGAGAGGUCAUGAGAGUCCUAGGGAAACCCAAGAGCAAAAAAGUAAACAAAACAAUAUGGGGAUGAGAUAGAGAAGAUGACAGAGAAAGAAGUCGAGGUAGUGAUGGAAGGACAAGAGGACGGCAAAGGCUGCAUUAACUACGAAGCCUUUGUGAAACACAUCAUGUCUGGGUGAAUGAUCAAAAUUCAAGAUGUCGCUGACCUGAAUCUUUCUUUUGUUCCUCUCCCCUUUUGUUCAAAUCUUUGUCCUCUAUGUGUGUGACUCAUUCUGUCUAUGUGUGUGAGAGUGGAUGUGUGUGUCACAACGUUUUUGACAAUGAAAAUAAAUGUUCAGGGUCAAACAUCUAGGUCCAAAGCAAUGUUAAUCUUUAUUUCCAUGGUGUGGUUGAGUGACUGUUGCAAAGUGACAAUAUUGAGAGAUGGUAACUAUGUCCUAUAUGGUGUGCACUUCCUCUGAAAUAGGAGUGCGGUGUAAUCCCUAAAGUGGGGGAGAUCCUCUCCUUCUUUGGUGGUCCCAUUGAAAUCCAUUACGUAAUGGGUCUCUAGCGCAUUCUUAGGUUUCACAUGUCAAAAGCCUGCGUCUGUCACGUACGCAUAUUUAGACUAGCUAAUGGAGCGAUGA